GGAAAAAACUUUAACAAAGGGAAAAGCUUUAGAGUUUGCUAGCUAGUUCAAAAUAUGGUUGUUCGCAAGUACAUUUAGAGCAAGCUAGUACAAAAUUAAUACAAGAAACUUGAAAUUAAGAUGUCGAUCGAGGAGAAGAUUGAAAUUAAGAUGUCGAUUGAGCGAAGCAUCAUAAUUCGAUGUCUCCAGAAGUGUUCAUAUAGUUUGAAUGAAAACAGAAAUGAGGAAAGAAAUCCAGAAAGAAACUCCACAUCUCCAUGGAAGGAAGGAUUAUCUGUCAAGAUGCAUGUAUGGGUGGGCGUAUGCAGUGAAUUAACCCUUGUAAAUUAAUAUCCAGACUGAGUUGUCAGCAAACCCUCGUUUUACAGUGAAAGCGCCAAUGAAGAUUUCGUCAUGGCAAGCGUUAAAAACCACACCUGACAUCAACAGUCGGAUGGUUGCAGAACAAGUAACGGUGGGUUUUGUUAAUAUAUUAAUAAUUUAACUUGCUCUCAUCAGGUACAUGCGUUCAUCUCCAGAAACCAGUCUACUGCUCUCAAUUAAUUAUUUAUAUUUAUAUUCUGUAUAAAUAUAUCAGCUCAGCUGGUUCAUAUUCAAUUGAGUGAGUCUCAGUGUAGUGAGGAGGAGAACUAAGAGAUAAUCAAAUGGCGGAGGAGGUGAUUCUGAUCAUGGAGGAUGAGAAUAAUAACAAUAAUAGUAAUAGUAAUAAUAAUAUUAGUGUGUCGGUGGUGAUAGUAGGAGCUGGUCCUUCUGGCAUUGCUACCUCCGCCUUGCUCAAUUCUCUGUCAGUUUCAAAUCUUGUGCUUGAGAAGGAAGACUGUUGUGGGUCCCUCUGGAAGAAGCGGUCCUACGACCGUCUGAAUCUUCACUUGGCAAAGAGCUUCUGCAGUUUGCCGAUGAUGUCCCAUCCCUUCCGAACCUCCAUUUUCAUGUCGAAAGACGACUUCAUUCGUUACCUGGACGAGUACGUGGCCAGGUUCAACGUGAACCCUCGCUACUGCAAUGACGUGGAGGAGGCUGUUUACGAUGAAGAGGAAGGCAAGUGGAGGGUGACAGUGAAAGACACCGCUUCCGGGACGGUGUAUGAGAUCGCAUCGGAUUUCUUGGUGGUUGCAACUGGAGAAAAUAGCCAGCCUUUUCUCCCCAGCGACUUGCCUGGGAUGGAGACCUUCACAGGAAAGGUGGUUCAUUCCAGUGACUAUAAAAACGGGGCCGUUUUUAAAGAUGAAAAGGUUUUGGUAAUUGGCUGUGGCAAUUCUGGGAUGGAAAUCAGCAACGAUCUUGCAGAUAAUGGAGCACACACGUCCCAUUGUUGUUAGAAGCCAAAUUCAUGUGCUGAGCAAAGAAAUGGUUGGCAUUGGCAUGCUUCUGUCGAAUUACCUCCCACUGAAAAUAGUGGACAAGUUUGUGUCACUGCUUGCCAAGUUGAGCUACAGUGAUUUGUCCAGCUAUGGCAUUCAUCGCCCAGUUGAAGGGCCAUUUCUCUUUAAAGCCCUUACCGGAAAGACUCCAGUAAUUGAUCGUGGAACCAUCAAGAAAAUUCGCUCCAAAAAGAUUCAGGUUUUUCCAGAUGUGGUGAGUAUAAACCAGAACACUGUGGAAUUCAAAGAUGGUAAACGACGGUGUUUUGAUGCUAUUGUGUUGGCAACUGGUUACAGAAGCGUAGCACAUAAAUGGUUGAAGGACUACAAGUUCCUUCUUACAGAUGAUGGAAAGCCUAAAGGGAAGUACCCAAACCAUUGGAAGGGCGAGAAAGGUGUCUAUUGUGUUGGAUUAACAGGGAAGGGACUGCCAGGGAUUUUCAAAGAUUCAAAGGCUGUAACUGAAGACAUCUAUCGACUUACAUUAAUGGCACAAAAGUAAUUGAUGUGCAUUCCAUGGGCACUAGUAUUGCACGUAUGCAGACACGGGCUAGCUUGUACCAUACUAUUAUCCUACCUAUAAUGUGUAUUUGUGUGUUGAAUAAGACAAAUCACUGUGUGUGGAUUCCGAGUCUUUGCGUUUAUAGUUGGUGCAUUUUCCCGCAUGUCAUUUUGUUCGUCGUGUUUUGAACACUAUGAUGCCCAUGGUUUCUAGCACACUUGUAAGCCCCGAAAUGUUUAAUUAAGAUUUUUGCUUAUAAUUUCCGUUA